rnacentral:lncRNA from 1 species
ACUGGUGGGGACCGGUGGCUAUCACCUGUGCAGCUAGACCAGAAGAUAGACUGUGAGAUAUCAGUAACCCCUUCCCACACCCAGACCCAGGUUGACCUUGACCACAGUCAUAAAACCAUUUAAAUGUCUGUAUUUACAAGUGAGACAUUUGGCAGUAAAUUUCAGUUCCAGCAUUCAGAAAGCCAAUAACAACAUACUUGUUUAUUGGCAAAUACCAAUAAAACUGCAUUUC